UAGUAACUGCGAGUGAAGCGGGAAAAGCUCAAAUUUAAAAUCUGGCGGUCUUUGGCCGUUCGAGUUGUAAUUUAGAGAAGCGUCUUCCGCGUCGGGCCGUGCACAAGUCUCCUGGAAUGGAGCGUCAUAGAGGGUGAGAAUCCCGUCUCUGGCACGGACCUCCGGUGCUUUUGUGAUGCGCUCUCAAAGAGUCGAGUUGUUUGGGAAUGCAGCUCAAAAUGGGUGGUGAACUCCAUCUAAAGCUAAAUAUUGGCGAGAGACCGAUAGCGAACAAGUACCGUGAGGGAAAGAUGAAAAGCACUUUGGAAAGAGAGUGAAACAGUACGUGAAAUUGUUGAAAGGGAAACGCUUCAAGUCAGUCGCGUCGACCGAGACUCAGCCUUGCCUCGGCUUGGCGUACUUCUCGGCUGACGGGCCAGCAUCAAUUUCGUCCCUCGGAUAAUGGCAAGGGAAAGGUGGCACCCUUACGGGUGUGUUAUAGUCUCCUGUCGCAUGCGAGGGGUGGGAUUGAGGACCUCAGCGCGCGCCUCUCGGCGUCGGGGCUUCGGCCCACGCUACGCGCUUAKGAUGUUGGCGUAAUGGCUUUAAACGACCCGUCUUGAAACACGGACCAAGGAGUCUAACAUGCCCGCGAGUGUUCGGGUGGAARACCCGUGCGCGAAAUGAAWGUGAAAGUUGGGACCUCUGUCGUGGAGGGCACCGACGCCCGGACCAGACCUUCUGUGACGGAUCU
rnacentral:rRNA from 1 species